GACGAACGCUGGCGGCGUGCCUAAUACAUGCAAGUAGAACGCUGAAGAGAGGAGCUUGCUCUUCUUGGAUGAGUUGCGAACGGGUGAGUAACGCGUAGGUAACCUGCCUGGUAGCGGGGGAUAACUAUUGGAAACGAUAGCUAAUACCGCAUAAAAUGGAUUAUCGCAUGAUAAUCCAUUGAAAGGUGCAACUGCAUCACUACCAGAUGGACCUGCGUUGUAUUAGCUAGUUGGUGGGGUAACGGCUCACCAAGGCGACGAUACAUAGCCGACCUGAGAGGGUGAUCGGCCACACUGGGACUGAGACACGGCCCAGACUCCUACGGGAGGCAGCAGUAGGGAAUCUUCGGCAAUGGACGGAAGUCUGACCGAGCAACGCCGCGUGAGUGAAGAAGGUUUUCGGAUCGUAAAGCUCUGUUGUAAGAGAAGAACGAGUGUGAGAGUGGAAAGUUCACACUGUGACGGUAUCUUACCAGAAAGGGACGGCUAACUACGU
rnacentral:rRNA from 1 species